AACUAGUUUAAAUCACUGAACGGGUGCUUUGGGGAUGUGAGCCAAAGGGGCAAUAUUUUUCUGAGAGAUUUUCUUAUCACAACCUGGAUCCCAGCUAUAGAUCCGAUGGAUAAAACCGAAUGCUUUGUUUUUUGUUGUUGUUUUGUUUUUGCACCGGUGCCCGCCCCACUCCCCACCCCCGCUGCACAGGGCCAAGGGGAGGCUGACCAGGUUGGUUUUGAUCUGAUAAACGUACGCAUCUCCCCCCACACCCCAGGGGGGGUCAGCACCCCUCCGCAUGUUUAAAACUGAGUGCUUUGAAUAUCCUGGGAUCCACUGCCAUCUUUUUCUCUUUUUUUUUAACUUUCAAAUUUUCACCAGUUUCUUCAUUCAGGUUGCGUUAUCAACUGAGGACAAUGGAAUUAGCCUAGUGCAGAUUUAGCCUUGGAUUUAUUUUGGAAGGUAGUUGUUGCCUCCCGAGAUGGUAACCAUGGCGGGUGGAGGACACUCAGAAAGGCGACAGACGUGAACUGUGAAGCACCAGCCAGGCAGGUGGCGCUCUCAGGACCCACACAGAGCAGGCCGCGCCCACCUCAUUGGCUUUGUCCUUCUCUCCACCCCUUGUCUCACCAGGAGCUCCCCCCCCCCCCCCCCCACCACAGUCACUGCCCUCUGCUCCCUGGAUUGUAUUAUAGAGAUGUGCCUGUAUUGGAGAGCUUUUCCUCUCAGAGCCUGGAGGACUUCUGCCUCCCCUUACCAUUUUAAAAUCUGCUUUUCCUUCAAGACUUAGUGCAAAUACCACCUCUUCCAUGAAGCCAUUCCUGAUUUCCCCUUGCCCUCCACCCUGAUCAGUCCCAUUGUCUGCAUCUGCAUUGUGCAUUAUUUAUACUUUAAAAAAAAUAUUUUUAUUGCCCAGCUGGGCAUGGCUCAGGGGUUGAGUGUUGAUCCAGGAACCAAGAGGUCACAGUUCAAUUCCCCACCAGAGCACAUGCACGGGUUGCAGGCUCGAUCCCCAUAGGGGGCAUGUAGGAGGCAGCUAAUCAAUCAUUCUCUCUCAUCAUUGAUGUUUCUCUGUCCCUCUCCCUGGAUCUCUGAAAUCAAUAAAAAUAUAUACAUGUAUUUAUAUAGGUGUCCCUUGCUGGGGACUGAGCCUGCAGCCCAAGCAUGUGCCCUGACGGGGGUGAACCAGUUACUUCCUGGUUCACGGGCCGACACUCAGCCACUGAGCAGCAGCGGCCGGGCAUAUGCUUUCGUUAUAACCCUUACAGAUUUUUUCUCAGAUAUUUUUUAUGUAGAUUGUGAGAUUCUUGAGUACAGAAAUGUGUCUUCCUCAUUGUUUUGUCCAGUGUCUGGAAUAUAGUAGAUAUCAAUAACAUUUGUCAAAUAGAAUUAAUAAUAUGAUGUCACCUUUUUAGCGGGCUGCAUACCAAACACUGUCAUAUGCUUUACAUAGAUUAUUUCAUUGGAUCUUUUUUUUUUUGAUUGAUUACACUUGCACAUCCCCUACUGGGGAUUGAGCCUGCAACCUGGGCAUGUGCCCUUGACUGAAAUCGAACCUUGGACCCUUCAGUCCGCAGGCCGAUGCUCUAUCCACCGAGCCACACCAGCUAGGGCUGGAGCUAGAAUCAAACCUAGAUUCACCUGACUCUGACCCAGUGUCUUUCUGCCUUCUGAUGAGUGAGUGAAGGUGAGCUUUUACUGGGCUGUUUUAGGGGCUGCAGAUCCAAGCCCGGGGCAGAGCGCCCACAGGGAAGACGGCCUUUCAGAACGAGGCCCAGUCUCUGUGGACACAUGUCCGUGGAGCAAACACUAGGGAGCGUCUAGCUGCCAGACAGUCUGCCGAGGCUACAAAGAUGAGGACAAGACCUGCCCCAGGAGCUCACUGGCUGAGGGGCUGGAGGGGGGGCGACGGGCACCAGCAAAUACCAGCCAAGCCGGCGGUGAGAGGUGCUCCGGGAACCCAGGGGCCACCCAAGCUUGGGCUGGGUCCGUGGGAAAGCCCUCUGGAGGGGGUGGGAGCGUGACUGACGGCUGUCUGUAACCUUGACCCCUCCCCGUGCCCAGCCAUGAGAUGUGGGGUUGCCCCAUGGCUUUCAGAAGAGCAUUGUCACCUCUGGUACUU